UCUCCUUCAUUCCCGGAAGCCGAAGUGCCCCUGGAAUCUUGCACAGCCUUUGCUGUGACAGUCCUGCAGGUCGCUCAGGGGCAGGUCCUGAUUACGAGGAUCCUGAGAAGUGCCUGCUUCUCUGUGGCGACGACCAGGUUUACUGACUCUCAAGUAGAAAGAACCCAAGGGAUGCUCCUGCCACAUGUAUGAAGAAGCCGGGCCGAGAAGGAAGGACUCGCUCUGAAUCCACGGAAGUCGGAGCCCAAGGGUGAUGGCACAGCUGGUUUGCCUCCCAGGAGGCAGGGAGGCUCUUGCUGAUCAGGGCCAGGAGGAGAGGCCCCGCAAGGGAGGAGUCCCUUCACUGUAUUUUGUUUCUCAAUUAGAAA